rnacentral:rRNA from 2 species
UUAAGCGACUAAGCGUACACGGUGGAUGCCCUGGCAGUCAGAGGCGAUGAAGGACGUGCUAAUCUGCGAUAAGCGUCGGUAAGGUGAUAUGAACCGUUAUAACCGGCGAUUUCCGAAUGGGGAAACCCAGUGUGAUUCGUCACACUAUCAUUAACUGAAUCCAUAGGUUAAUGAGGCGAACCGGGGGAACUGAAACAUCUAAGUACCCCGAGGAAAAGAAAUCAACCGAGAUUCCCCCAGUAGCGGCGAGCGAACGGGGAGCAGCCCAGAGCCUGAAUCAGUGUGUGUGUUAGUGGAAGCGUCUGGAAAGGCGCGCGAUACAGGGUGACAGCCCCGUACACAAAAAUGCACAUGCUGUGAGCUCGAUGAGUAGGGCGGGACACGUGGUAUCCUGUCUGAAUAUGGGGGGACCAUCCUCCAAGGCUAAAUACUCCUGACUGACCGAUAGUGAACCAGUACCGUGAGGGAAAGGCGAAAAGAACCCCGGCGAGGGGAGUGAAAAAGAACCUGAAACCGUGUACGUACAAGCAGUGGGAGCACGCUUAGGCGUGUGACUGCGUACCUUUUGUAUAAUGGGUCAGCGACUUAUAUUCUGUAGCAAGGUUAACCGAAUAGGGGAGCCGAAGGGAAACCGAGUCUUAACUGGGCGUUAAGUUGCAGGGUAUAGACCCGAAACCCGGUGAUCUAGCCAUGGGCAGGUUGAAGGUUGGGUAACACUAACUGGAGGACCGAACCGACUAAUGUUGAAAAAUUAGCGGAUGACUUGUGGCUGGGGGUGAAAGGCCAAUCAAACCGGGAGAUAGCUGGUUCUCCCCGAAAGCUAUUUAGGUAGCGCCUCGUGAAUUCAUCUCCGGGGGUAGAGCACUGUUUCGGCAAGGGGGUCAUCCCGACUUACCAACCCGAUGCAAACUGCGAAUACCGGAGAAUGUUAUCACGGGAGACACACGGCGGGUGCUAACGUCCGUCGUGAAGAGGGAAACAACCCAGACCGCCAGCUAAGGUCCCAAAGUCAUGGUUAAGUGGGAAACGAUGUGGGAAGGCCCAGACAGCCAGGAUGUUGGCUUAGAAGCAGCCAUCAUUUAAAGAAAGCGUAAUAGCUCACUGGUCGAGUCGGCCUGCGCGGAAGAUGUAACGGGGCUAAACCAUGCACCGAAGCUGCGGCAGCGACGCUUAUGCGUUGUUGGGUAGGGGAGCGUUCUGUAAGCCUGUGAAGGUGUACUGUGAGGUAUGCUGGAGGUAUCAGAAGUGCGAAUGCUGACAUAAGUAACGAUAAAGCGGGUGAAAAGCCCGCUCGCCGGAAGACCAAGGGUUCCUGUCCAACGUUAAUCGGGGCAGGGUGAGUCGACCCCUAAGGCGAGGCCGAAAGGCGUAGUCGAUGGGAAACAGGUUAAUAUUCCUGUACUUGGUGUUACUGCGAAGGGGGGACGGAGAAGGCUAUGUUGGCCGGGCGACGGUUGUCCCGGUUUAAGCGUGUAGGCUGGUUUUCCAGGCAAAUCCGGAAAAUCAAGGCUGAGGCGUGAUGACGAGGCACUACGGUGCUGAAGCAACAAAUGCCCUGCUUCCAGGAAAAGCCUCUAAGCAUCAGGUAACAUCAAAUCGUACCCCAAACCGACACAGGUGGUCAGGUAGAGAAUACCAAGGCGCUUGAGAGAACUCGGGUGAAGGAACUAGGCAAAAUGGUGCCGUAACUUCGGGAGAAGGCACGCUGAUAUGUAGGUGAAGCGACUUGCUCGUGGAGCUGAAAUCAGUCGAAGAUACCAGCUGGCUGCAACUGUUUAUUAAAAACACAGCACUGUGCAAACACGAAAGUGGACGUAUACGGUGUGACGCCUGCCCGGUGCCGGAAGGUUAAUUGAUGGGGUCAGCGCAAGCGAAGCUCUUGAUCGAAGCCCCGGUAAACGGCGGCCGUAACUAUAACGGUCCUAAGGUAGCGAAAUUCCUUGUCGGGUAAGUUCCGACCUGCACGAAUGGCGUAAUGAUGGCCAGGCUGUCUCCACCCGAGACUCAGUGAAAUUGAACUCGCUGUGAAGAUGCAGUGUACCCGCGGCAAGACGGAAAGACCCCGUGAACCUUUACUAUAGCUUGGCACUGAACAUUGAGCCUUGAUGUGUAGGAUAGGUGGGAGGCUUUGAAGUGUGGACGCCAGUCUGCAUGGAGCCGACCUUGAAAUACCACCCUUUAAUGUUUGAUGUUCUAACGUUGACCCGUAAUCCGGGUUGCGGACAGUGUCUGGUGGGUAGUUUGACUGGGGCGGUCUCCUCCUAAAGAGUAACGGAGGAGCACGAAGGUUGGCUAAUCCUGGUCGGACAUCAGGAGGUUAGUGCAAUGGCAUAAGCCAGCUUGACUGCGAGCGUGACGGCGCGAGCAGGUGCGAAAGCAGGUCAUAGUGAUCCGGUGGUUCUGAAUGGAAGGGCCAUCGCUCAACGGAUAAAAGGUACUCCGGGGAUAACAGGCUGAUACCGCCCAAGAGUUCAUAUCGACGGCGGUGUUUGGCACCUCGAUGUCGGCUCAUCACAUCCUGGGGCUGAAGUAGGUCCCAAGGGUAUGGCUGUUCGCCAUUUAAAGUGGUACGCGAGCUGGGUUUAGAACGUCGUGAGACAGUUCGGUCCCUAUCUGCCGUGGGCGCUGGAGAACUGAGGGGGGCUGCUCCUAGUACGAGAGGACCGGAGUGGACGCAUCACUGGUGUUCGGGUUGUCAUGCCAAUGGCACUGCCCGGUAGCUAAAUGCGGAAGAGAUAAGUGCUGAAAGCAUCUAAGCACGAAACUUGCCCCGAGAUGAGUUCUCCCUGACCCUUUAAGGGUCCUGAAGGAACGUUGAAGACGACGACGUUGAUAGGCCGGGUGUGUAAGCGCAGCGAUGCGUUGAGCUAACCGGUACUAAUGAACCGUGAGGCUUAACCUU